rnacentral:snRNA from 1 species
GGAUGUGAGGGCGAUCUGGCUGCGACAUGUCACCCCAUUGAUCACCAGGGUUGAUUCGGCUGAUCUGGCUGGCUAGGCAGGUGUCCCCUUCCUCCCUCACUGCUCCAUGUGCGUCCCUCCUGAAGCUGUGCGCUCGGUCGAAGAGGACAGCCUUCCCCGAAUAGAGAUGGACCGGUCUUCGGUCGAGGGUAUACGAGUAGCUGCGCUCCCUGCUAGAACCUCCAAACAAGCUCUUAAGAAAUUAAGAUGAAUACUCUUCCAAGGAAUGCCACUUCUUAUAACUGAACAUCUGGUACCUACACUACUCCAGUUCUUCUUCUUCUAGUGUUUGCCACU